GUAUGGAGGCAUCUGAUCUACCCUGCCGCGUGAGUGAUGAAGCCUUAGGGUCGUAAAGCUCUUUCGCCUGUGAUGAUAAUGACAGUACCCAGGUAAAAAAACCCCGGCUAACUCCGUGCCACCACCCGCGGUAAUACGGAGGGGGUUAGCGUUGUUCGGAAUUACUGGGCGUAAAGCGCGCGUAGGCGGAUUAGAAAGUUGGGGGUGAAAUCCCGGGGCUCAACCUCAGAACUGCCUCCAAAACUGCUAGUCUAGAGUUCGAGAGAGGUGAGUGGAAUUCCGAGUGUAGAGGUGAAAUUCGUAGAUAUUCGGAGGAACACCAAUGGCGAAGGCGGCUCACUGGCUCGAUACUGACCCUGAGGUGCGAAAGUGUGGGGAGCAAACAGGAUUAGAUACCCUGGUAGUCCACACCGUAAACGAUGAAUGCCAGUCGUCGGAUAGUAUACUAUUCGGUGACACACCUAACGGAUUAAGCAUUCCGCCUGGGGAGUACGGUCGCAAGAUUAAAACUCAAAGGAAUUGACGGG
rnacentral:rRNA from 1 species